UACGUAGGGUGCAAGCGUUGUCCGGAAUUAUUGGGCGUAAAGAGCUCGUAGGCGGUUUGUCGCGUCUGCUGUGAAAACUCGGGGCUUAACUCCGGGCCUGCAGUGGGUACGGGCAGACUAGAGUCCGGAAGAGGAGAGUGGAAUUCCUGGUGUAGCGGUGAAAUGCGCAGAUAUCAGGAAGAACACCCGUGGCUAAGGCGGCUCUCUAGUACGGUACUGACGCUGAGACGCGAAAGCGUGGGGAGCGAACAGG
rnacentral:rRNA from 1 species